AACUAAGUUUGUUAUUGGUAUGAGCUUUCAUGUGCAUGCGCACUUCUUCAGAUACCAAACGCACUGAUCCUCAUAUCAUUCAGAUAUCUGAAGAAGUGUGCAUGCACACGCAAGCUCAUACCAAUAACAAACUUAGUUGG
rnacentral:miRNA from 1 species